CAUUAGAGCGUCUGAUAGAGAUAGCCUCACGUGCGCAUGUCCGAGAACCUAGCGGCAGCUCGGCUUAACACAACGCGGCGUGGAUCUAACUGUUAUUUGAGGCCAAUUGCUUUGUAGUCUUUUGUGAAGUAUGAGUCAAACUAAUUCCUAAACUCGUGUCUCCUCUCCACUCUUUGCGUGCUCAUGUCUACCCCCCUUCGCUCUGUUGCUACGUUGAGGCCCUGCCCUUUCUGUGUGAUUCCGCCGACCGGCUUCCUGUGUUUGCGCGACUCUAAGCUCGAUCUGGCGGAGAGAGAAUCGGGACCCAAGGCUAGGCUAGCCUGCCACCUCAACAUGGAGUAGUUUUGUCUCCUCGACAACAAAAGUAGAGCAUUGCCGUGAAUUAUCAUCGGCACUUUUUACACUGCUGAGGGAGCGGCCGCAAAUGUGGAGAUACGGCUUCGAGGAUACCCUGUCACUGUAACGGAAGGAUAGACAUUGCGAUUUUUAUUUAUUAUUAAAAAGAUGGCGAACGACUCCCCGGCUAAAAGUCUGGUAGACAUAGAUCUCUCCUCAUUGCGGGAUCCUGCCGGGAUUUUUGAAUUGGUGGAAGUGGUAGGAAAUGGAACCUAUGGACAAGUAUACAAGGUCGAGAGGGUUGGGUUGGGUCCCCUGGAGGCCAUCUGAUGUAUGACAGUUAUCUGCCCCCACCCCCUCGCCAGCAGCAGUCGUUUGCAUUUGGGCUGUUUACUUUUGAAUCACUUCCUGCACACAUGCUCUGUUGGUUAGGCGCCGAGCUGAACCCUCCUGCGCUGUGGUUUACCCUCCCUGCGCCCGUGACAACGCACGAGGGUGUUAAGGAUUUAAUGAUUUACUUGUAAAUUGCACUGCAUUUUGUUGUCUUACUGCAUUUCGUUGUCUGUACUUGUA